rnacentral:tRNA from 1 species
GGAGAGGUGGCAGAGCCUGGCUUAUUGCAGCAUCCUGCUAAGAUGUUGUGCCUGAUAAAGGUACCGUGGGUUCGAAUCCCACCCUCUCCG